UAGUUUUAUUAAUUCUCGCUGGCCCCCAUCUGUGCUUUCGACUGGAUUCAGAACUCAGUUUAUCUUCCAGGCUCCCUGUCUUUGGGUCUUGAUCACCACAGAGGGGAAGGGGAGAAUCCAGAGAUAAAAUGUGAGACUGAAACUGUUUUAAAGAAGCAUACAAGAAAGAAGCACACACUUUAUUAGGGAGAUGUUGAUGAGAUGCUUACAACCCGCCCGCCACCCCCCAGCCCCAGCUAGGCCAUCUGGCAGGUACCGCCCGUGCGCCAGGCAUCGUUUUCAAAUUGCAAGACCGAAAUCCAAUCAACCGAAAUAAUUUCUUAGGAAGAUAAGCUUGCAACACGUGCAAUAAUGAAAAAAUUUAACUAGCAUUAAAAAUAUUCAGGAAUGUCGAGCAAUUACCACCUGGCCGCAGUCACAGGACAGAAGACGGAAUAAAUGGGCACGCACCAAAGGUUUAUAUUAAAGUGUAAGUUUCAGCCCCUCAGUAUAUUUAAGGGAGGCUGCUCUGCAGAGGAAACCUCUGCCUUCUCGGCGAGGGAGUUUCCGAGCUACCUUAACUGGGGCGCAACGCAGCCUUCCGCCACCAGAGGCAGCGGGCGUCUGCGGCCUGUCAAAAACUGGCGCUUUUUUCCUCCCCUUUCCGUGGAGAGACUAUCAACUCCAUCUGUCACAAAAAUUAAGGCUAAAUCUCCUCUCCAGAAGCAGAGGGAGCCGGGGCUCCGACGCGCUCAGCGUCGGGCUGUCUGCCUCUCCCUAGAGGCCAAGUGAAUUUGAAAUGGCAAAAGUCACAGCCGGAGGCCCAGCACUAGGAGAUUCCUCCGGCUGCGGGAAAUCUUCCUGUACCUGCUGAAGCUGCUGCGUUCCUCAGAGGCGCUUGGUCUGCCGUGGGAAGCUGCACCUCUGCAGUCCCCAAAACCAAAAUCAAACCUUAAAAGAGCCAGACUGAGAAGCCAGUCACCACGUAAGACAUCUGGACCACCUUCAGACUCGCAUGCUGUGAGGAAGCCCAUGCUUACUAUGUGUAGAGGAUACAUGGAGAAGGAAAGAGAUGCCUGGCCAGCUCCCUGCUGUUUCAGCCAUGUGAGUGAAGAAGGCACCAGACUUGUGAGUGGAGACACUAACUUGGAUGUCCAGCCCAGCUGAACCUUCAGAGGUAAAUAAGUUGUCUGGCACAGGAACAUAAGGAUUUGGCGCUGUGUAAAGAUUAAUAAAAAUGGAAGGAACAAACUUCUAAUUCUUCAGAGAACAUGGAUAACAACUCCAAGAUGCAAAAUGACAACACGAUCCCGCUUUCACUGAUGAGUGUAUCAACAGAGACAGAGCAGCUGUUUAACAUCAUCAGCCUACUGUUCUCUAUGGAGCAGAAAACACACCCCCUCAUCAUUGCUUUGGAACUGGGGAGAUCAAGAUCCUGGCUCAGUUUCAAUAUCUAAUAACAUGAGGAAAUACCCACAAAAUUAGUAGGAGCUCCAAUUAUCAGGAAACUCGACUUUCAUACUUUUUGAAAAGAGAUAUUAAUGAAAUAGAGACUUAAACCCAUUGGCAAGAUACAACAUAGAACAUUUGAGGCACAACAUGCUUCAACCUCAGUGGAUUGCAGUUAGCCAGUUAGCAGUACAACGAUAUUUCUACCAAGAGCAUUUUUUCCCCCAAGAGAGUACCUUGGGCACAUUUGGGCAUUACCUACUAAAUUCUCCAAUAAUUGGGGCCGAUUCUACAAUAUGCGUAGUUAGUAUGUUUCAAAGUCGUGCUAGGCCUUAUUUCCAAAUCUAGCUUCUCACUACUGAAAUUAAGAAGAAACUUUUGGCUGGGUGCUGUGGCUCAUGCAUGUAAUCCCAGCACUUUGGGUGGCCGAGGCAGGCAGAUCACGAGGUCAGGAGAUCAAGACCAUCCUGGCCAACAUGGUGAAACCCCAUCUCUACUAAAAGUACAAAAAUUAGCUGGGCGUAGUGGUGCAUGCCUGUAAUCCCAGCUACUCAGGAGGCUGAGGCAAGAGAAGCACUUGAACCAGGGAGUCUGAAGUUGCAGUGAGCUAAGAUGAAACCACUGCACUCCAUCCAGCCUGGUAAUAGAGCAAAACUCUGUCUCAAAAAAAAAAAAAAAAAAAGAAACUUUUAAAUAAUUUAACUCUUUCAUAAAUCUAGAUAAAUUGUUUUCUAAAUAAAAAUAACAUAGUUUGUAAGUGAACUUAUCAAAUGCCUCAAAAGUCUGCUUUUUAUCUUGUGAGGAUUUAUAUAAAGACAAUAGACAUCCCAAAAAAACCUAUCCACAGGAAAAAAAAAAUCUAGCAACAAGCUUGUACAAAAUUUGUAAGUUUCAGGUUAAUGCUUCUCUAGACAAUUUGAGAAAAGUACUACAAUUGCUUACAUAUUUACUGCUGAAAAUCUGUAAUUGUCAUAAAUGUCUUGGGAAAAAUCUGUAAUCUUAUUGAUAAAGAUUACAAGCCAUCUAAUUCGUUUUAAUGAAAUAUAUAUCCUAGGACUUCAUCAAACACCUCAUUGAUGAGUUCACACUUUUCCUAAAUUUUAAAUUUAUAUGCACACUUACCUGCUCAUUUCUCACUGAAUUUGAUUCAGUUGAAUCCAACAGAUGUUUAUUGAGUUCCCACUGUAUGUUCUAGGAAGGCAAAUAAUGUUUUCUUCAAGUCUUCCAUCUCUGUUCCUCUUUUCUUUCUUUAUUACUAGACUUUUUUUAAAAAGCACUUUUAGUUUUAAGGCAAUUUUAGAAAAAUUGAUUGGAAAGUACAGAGGGUUCCCGCACAAUUCCUACUCCCCCCACCUGUUUCCUCUAUUAUUUACAUUCUGUGUUAUAUUACUGUGGCACACUCGUUACAACUGAUGAACCAAUACUGGUAUUUUAUUAUUAACUAAAGUCUUCGAUUUACAUUAGUUCCUUCUUAGUGUUGUUCAUUCUAUGCAUUUUGACAAAUGUAUAAUGUCAUGUAUUCACUAUUAGAAUAUCAUACAGAGUUUCAUCUCCCUAAAUUCCCUGGAAGCAUUCUGUAUUAACCUAGAAGGGAUCUUAAAUCAAAUUUUUUCGUUUACAGCUUCACUUCUUAAAGCUUCUGGAUCUAGUAUUUCUUUUUUGCCCAUUAUUUAAAAAAUUAAGUGAGAUUUUGCAUGCCAUUUGAAUUCAAAAGUUGGUCUCUCUGUGGUACACAUCUCCUCAAAUGAUUAACUAUUUAUGUUGAAAUAGUACUUCUUAUAAUUCAGUUAUCCAUCCGGAAAUAUUUCUUGAUUACCUGCCCUGGGCCAAGCAUUCUGGUCUGUUUUCUCUUGAUUAGUGAAGUUUGUGAUAGGUGACCUUAUGUAACAUAUCUUUGUUUCACUCAUAGACAUACAUUUAAUUAUCAAAAUCCUUUACACAUAUAUAGUACAAAAUGCAAAAGAAUUUUUUUUUAUUGUAUAAUUUUAGCAAGCUUCCACUUAACCUUUGCACCAAGACUGCCACUUCCUUUAGCCACUGUUAUCAAUUUCUGGCAUGCAUUUCCAGAGAUAUUACAUGUAUACACAUAUAUAAGAAUCUUUUUAAAAACAACAAUCUUUGCCUUGUUUUUUUACUUAACAGUAUAUUUUGGGCACUGUUCCAUGUCACUUUGUAAAAAGCUGAUGUAUUCCUUGCUUAUCCUUUUUGAUGAGUAUGUAGCGUUCUGCUUUUGAGUGUUCCAUAAAUUAUUUAAGCAGUCCCUUAGUCCCUUAUUGUUGAAUAUUUAAAUUCAAAUUCUUUGUUAUUCCAGUGUGGCAAUGAAUAUUCUUGCACUUUUGUCAUCUCAUAAAUAUUUUAAUGCAGCCAUAGUUUACAUUCGUAGAAGUGGAAUUACUGAGUCAAAGAGGAGGUUCAUUUUAAACUGUGCUAGAUCAAUUGUUCUAUCUAUGUAUCUCUGAUAGGUCCAUUAUUCCCUGUAGAAGUUGUGCCAGUGUAUGAGAGUGUUUCCUAAUAUCAUCACCAACAUUACAUGUUAUUAUUAAGCUUUUGGAUCUUUGCCAAUCUGAUAAGUGAAAAUUUAUGCCAUUGUAGCUUUAAUUUUAAUUUAUCUUAUUAUAUGUAAGUCAUACAUUAUUAUUUAAGUCCUCAGGAAGUUAAUAAAGUAAAGACUGAAUACAUUUAACUGCAAGGAGGUUAGGUGAUCCAACAUCAUCCAACUCAUAAGUGAGGGCACCCAGAAAGUGCUCUCCCAAGCCCCUGUCCUCUGUCAUCCCCCACCUCCCUGUACUAUAUAGCACAGUGCCAACAGGCUUGGUUAAAGGUUUGCAUUUUCCUCCACUUGAUCAGUAAUUGUCAAAAAAUUAUUACUUUUUAUGAAAAGGAAUAAGUUUUCUUACUAAAAUGGCAAAAUCAGUUAAUUCUGAAGAAUCCUCCCAGAUUUCAUUUAAAAUUUUAGGAAAUCCCUUCCCUCUCACUAGAGACAUACUAGAAAAAAAAAUCAACAUUUUUUAUCUAGAUAAUCACUGAAUGACUGACAUAAAAUAUCUGGACUUCUGUUUGAGAUGAAAUUAUCCUAUUAUUGAUGGGACAUAUUUGAGAAACAAAGCUUCGCUCUUUCCUCCCUAACUUCCUGCUCUGAAACACCUGUUUCCAUUCUGUAUCUGACCAAACUCGGAGCAUUGAGUUUCCAUACACUAUGGAACCCUGAGAAUCUUGUGGUUUCUGAGCAGCCAGUGAAGACUUUGCUUUCCUUUGCAUUUGUUGUGUUUGUCAGGUAGAGGCUUGUCUCUGGACCUAAGCUGUCUACUGCCUCACUGUCACAGCCAGUUUGCUGCUCUAAGAGGGUUAAUUGCCCUUUCUUGUACCCUCAAAUCCACUCUUGACCCUUGGUUUGGAAGGAAGGAAAGAGACAGAGCCAUAUGGAAGCAAGAAGGUUUCCUAUGGUCCCAGGGCAGAGCAGUUUGUGGUAGUUUAACAAUUAUUAAACACAUUAACAAAGUGACCAAAUGAACCAACUUUCUGGAACAGACGUUAUGUCAAUCUUGAAUUAUGCAUUUUUGCUGUUGUUAUUCUUUAUUCAUCGAACAAAUAUUGCACACCAGCCGGGCGCGGUGGCUCAAGCCUGUAAUCCCAGCACUUUGGGAGGCGGAGGCAGGCGAAUCAUGAGGUCCGGAUAUCGAGACCAUCCUGGCUAACACAGUGAAACCCCGUCUGUACUAAAAAUCCAAAAAAAAAGCCGGGUUCCGUGGCAGGCGCUUGUAGUCCCAGCUACUCAGGAGGCUGAGGCAGGAGAAUGGCGUGAACGCGGGAGGAGGAGCUUGCAGUGAGCCGAGAUCGCGCCACUGCACUCCCAUCUGGGCAACAGAGCGAGACACUGUCUCAGAAAAAAAAAAAAAAAAUUGCACACCAGUUUGUGUCAGAAGCUGGUCUCUGUUCUACAGGUCUAGCAAUAACUAACAGGAGGAAAUGCCUCCUCGUAGUUCAUUUUAUCCAAUGGCUCUCAUAAUUUUCUUUCCCCAUUUUCAUGGUAAAUCUGAGAACUGAGUGACCUAUCAUUACAAAAGCGGA
rnacentral:lncRNA from 1 species